UACAGAGGGGCAAGCGUUGUUCGGAAUUACUGGGCGUAAAGGGCGCGUAGGCGGCCUGCUAAGUCGAACGUGAAAUCCCUCGGGCUCAACCCAGGAACUGCGUCCGAUACUGGUUGGCUUGAAUCCGGGAGAGGGAUGUGGAAUUCCCAGUGUGAGAGGUGAAAUUCGUAGAUAUUGGGAAGAACACCAGUGGCGAAGGCGGCGUGCACUGGCCCG
rnacentral:rRNA from 1 species